rnacentral:rRNA from 1 species
AUUGAACGCUGGCGGCAUGCUUUACACAUGCAAGUCGAACGGUAACAGGUUAAGCUGACGAGUGGCGAACGGGUGAGUAAUGCAUCGGAACGUGCCCGAUCGUGGGGGAUAACGCAGCGAAAGCUGCGCUAAUACCGCAUACGAUCUGAGGAUGAAAGCGGGGGACCGUAAGGCCUCGCGCGAUCGGAGCGGCCGAUGUCAGAUUAGGUAGUUGGUGGGGUAAAGGCUCACCAAGCCGACGAUCUGUAGCUGGUCCGAGAGGACGACCAGCCACACUGGGACUGAGACACGGCCCAGACUCCUACGGGAGGCAGCAGUGGGGAAUUUUGGACAAUGGGCGAAAGCCUGAUCCAGCCAUGCCGCGUGCAGGAUGAAGGCCUUCGGGUUGUAAACUGCUUUUGUACGGAACGAAAAGGUUUGGGCUAAUAAGCUGAGCUCAUGACGGUACCGUAAGAAUAAGCACCGGCUAACUACGUGCCAGCCGCCGCAGUAA